rnacentral:lncRNA from 1 species
UGGUGUAAUCGAAUCAGUCAAAGAAAAUGAUUUCUAUCCAAUAUUGUUACUGACUCAGUUUAGUGUUAAAUAUACUGACCGGAUUUCGUAAACACAGGAAUAAUGUUUGCAAAAUUUUGCUUGGUUCUACUGGUUGUGUGUCUAAGUGUUGGAUCUGUUUAGGCAAAUCCUACCGGAACGAAUUACUGCCAAAUGGUGACUCGUCUGCUUGUGCUAUGUAUUGUUUUACUGUUUGGCAGUCACGUGGUUGGUGUGGUUCAGAUAACAUAUGCCACUGUGAUCACUAAUCACGUGGCAAAUAGUCUUCGUGACAACCUGGAAAGGAAAUAAACCAGAACAGAUUUCAUUAACUGUAGCAAAUAAUGAAGAAAUAAAGUUUUCAUACAGCCUA